rnacentral:rRNA from 1 species
UACGUAGGGUGCGAGCGUUAAUCGGAAUUACUGGGCGUAAAGCGUGCGCAGGCGGUUUUGUAAGUCAGAUGUGAAAUCCCCGGGCUCAACCUGGGAACUGCAUUUGAGACUGCAAAGCUAGAGUGUGGCAGAGGGGGGUGGAAUUCCACGUGUAGCAGUGAAAUGCGUAGAGAUGUGGAGGAACACCGAUGGCGAAGGCGGCUCGCUGGACAAGUAUUGACGCUGAGGUGCGAAAGCGUGGGGAGCAAACAGGAUUAGAAACCCUUGUAGU